CCUGGUAUAUUGACAUAGCCAGUUUUAUUUAUAGGUUCUUUUUCUUUUUUAUUAUUUUCUUGAAAUAUUUUUAACUUUAUGUUUUUAAUUUAUGUUAUAUAGUUCUUCCUUUUUCUUAUUUCUUUUAUCGGUUCUAAUGUUAGUUUAUUUGAUUCCAAAAUAUUAUUAUUUAUUAUUUCCAUUUUAUUAUUUAUUGCUUCUAUUUUAACCAUCACUUAGGUAUUCUUCAGUAGAUACUGAGGUAGUGAUGUCUACUAAUUUAUCUUCACCUUUUUCAUCCAUAGUUAAUUUUUCUAGAGUAUAUUUAUAAACA
rnacentral:lncRNA from 1 species